AUUAAAAGCAUCUUUCAUUCAAAAAAGAAACCUUAUAGAAACUAUCCAAUGAGUCUAAUCUGCGUCCCAUCAUUGCGAAAAAAAACAAUCUUUCCGGGGAGGGCAGCAUGCUUUGGAUGUGGAGCUAUUAUCGUCCAGCCCUCUAACCUAAUGCGGUCGGACUACAGGAACCGUAGCAUGGGGGACAUCUUAAUCCUUUAGCUGCUGCAAGGCUGGCUAAUUAUAUGCAGCAAGAGCAAGGGAAUUCCCCUG
rnacentral:lncRNA from 1 species